GCGGCCGAUUAGGUAGUUGCUGGGGUAACGUCCCAACAAGCCGAUAAUCGGUACGGGUUGUGAGAGCAAGAGCCCGGAGAUGGAUUCUGAGACACGAAUCCAGGUCCUACGGGGCGCAGCAGGCGCGAAAACUUUACACUGCGCGAAAGCGCGAUAAGGGGACCUCGAGUGCGUGCGCAAAGCGUACGCUUUUCAGAUGCCUAAAAAGCAUCUGGAAUAAGGGCCGGGCAAGACCGGUGCCAGCCGCCGCGGUAACACCGGCGGCUCAAGUGGUGGCCGCUAUUAUUGGGCUUAAAGGGUCCGUAGCCGGACCAGUUAGUCCCUUGGGAAAUCUUACGGCUUAACCGUAAGGCUGCCAAUGGAUACUGCUGGUCUUGGGACCGGGAGAGGCAAGAGGUACCUCAGGGGUAGGAGUGAAAUCCUGUAAUCCUUGAGGGACCGCCAGUGGCGAAGGCGUCUUGCUAGAACGGGUCCGACGGUGAGGGACGAAAGCUAGGGGCACGAACCGGAUUAGAUACCCGGGUAGCCCUAGCCGUAAACGAUGCGAGCUAGGUGUCACGUGGAUUGCGAAUCCAUGUGGUGCCGAAGGGAAACCGUGAAGCUCGCCGCCUGGGAAGUACGGCCGCAAGGCUGAAACUUAAAGGAAUUGGCGGGGGAGCAC
rnacentral:rRNA from 1 species